UGGAGAGCUUCUGGGUGGCGAACACAUCCAUGAGCCAGGAGGGGGACGCACAUCUCCUCCACAGAGACAGAAGCUCUUAUGCUCGGGACUUUUUCAGACCUCAUCCUAUCCCUCCACGAUGGAAGGUCAGAAACAAGUCCAUGGGGCAGGUAAGGGGCAGACAGGACAACCACAGCCAAGGUGUACUGAGCCCUUACUCUGUGCUGGGCUGUAUGCUGAGCCCCUCACGUGCUGAACCCUACUGAACCCUCUAAACAAUCACAGGAGGAGGGGAAACUGAGGCUCGGGAGAUUUAUGGUAACCUUCCCAAGACAGUCAGUGACCAGCCAAGAUGGAACACAGACAUUAUGUUAGAGCAUUUAUACGUGAUGACAGAGAUUUACUUGGGGUGAAGAGAAAGCAACCCAUGGGCAAUGUUACACUGGAGAAGAACUCAUGAUCUGGGCUAGAAUCCAAAGACUUCUGCCAAAAAAAAACAAAGUAAAAAUACUAAUAAUUUUAGAUCGGCUGGAGGUUGAAACGAUCGUAUGUUGGCUAUCUGAGGAUAAAUAAAAUGUGUUAUUAAUUUCACCUGUUCAGUUUACUUUUUAAUGCGACUAUUAGAAAACUUUAAAUAUGUAUGUGACUUGUAUUGUGUUUCUAUUGGAUAGCACUGUUCUAGACUCUCUUGCUUCUCUUACAUAGACAUAUGUGUGCCUAUAUGUUGUUUGUUCAAAUAAGAGCACAUUACACUACUGUUUUACACAUCUGCUGUCGUUACUUAACAACUUACCAGGAAGAUUUCCACACGCCAGGAAAAUUAGAUUCUCAUCGUGAGUGUUAACAGCUCCAAAGUAUAACACUGAGCCAGCGCCCCAGAAUUUAUUUCACCUAUAACAGAAAUUUUCGAGGCUAUUUGUUUUUUUCCUUUUCUUCUC